CCUACGGGAGACAGCAGUAGGGAAUCUUCCACAAUGGGCGAAAGCCUGAUGGAGCAACGCCGCGUGGGUGAAGAAGGUCUUCGGAUCGUAAAACCCUGUUGUUAGAGAAGAAAGUGCGUGAGAGUAACUGUUCACGUCUCGACGGUAUCUAACCAGAAAGCCACGGCUAACUACGUGCCAGCAACCGCGGUAAUACGUAGGUGGCAAGCGUUAUCCGGAUUUAUUGGACGUAAAGGGAACGCAGGCGGUCUUUUAAGUCUGAUGUGAAAGCCUUCGGCUUAACCGGAGUAGUGCAUUGGAAACUGGGAGACUUGAGUGCAGAAGAGGAGAGUGGAACUCCAUGUGUAGCGGUGAAAUGCGUAGAUAUAUGGAAGAACACCAGUGGCGAAAUCGGCUCUCUGGGCUGUAACUGACGCUGAGGUUCGAAAGCGUGGGUAGCAAACAGGAUUAGAUACCCCUGUAGUC
rnacentral:rRNA from 1 species